CAGGACGAACGCUGGCGGCGUGCCUAAUACAUGCAAGUCGAACGCCAUCGACCUUCUUGGUCAUAUGAUGGAGUGGCGAACGGGUGCGUAACACGUGAGAAACCUGCCCCGAAGACGGGAAUAACCCGAGGAAACUCGGAUUAAUACCCGAUGCCUUCACAUCACCGCAUGGUGGAGUGAAGAAAUGCUCCGGCGCUUUGGGUGGGUCUCGCGGCCUAUCAGCUUGUUGGUGAGGUAACGGCUCACCAAGGCAUCGACGGGUAGCUGGUCUGAGAGGACGAUCAGCCACACUGGGACUGAGACACGGCCCAGACUCCUACGGGAGGCAGCAGUAGGGAAUCUUGCGCAAUGGGCGAAAGCCUGACGCAGCAACGCCGCGUGGGGGAUGACGGCCUUCGGGUUGUAAACCCCUUUCAGCAGGGACGAAAAUGACGGUACCUGCAGAAGAAGCUCCGGCCAACUACGUGCCAGCAGCCGCGGUAAUACGUAGGGAGCAAGCGUUGUCCGGAAUUAUUGGGCGUAAAGAGCUCGUAGGCGGUUCGGUAAGUCGGGUGUGAGAAUCCAGGGCUCAACCCUGGGACGCCACCCGAUACUGCUGUGACUAGAGUCCGGUAGAGGAGUGUGGAAUUCCUGGUGUAGCGGUGAAAUGCGCAAAUAUCAGGAGGAACACCAGCGGCGAAGUCGGCACUCUGGGCCGGUACUGACGCUGAGGAGCGAAAGCANGGGGAGCAAACAGGAUUAGAUACCCUGGUAAUCCANGCCGUAAACGUUGGGCACUAGGUACGGGGUCUUUAUCAAUGGACUCCGUGCCGUAGCUAACGCANUAAGUGCCCCGCCUGGGGAGUACGGCCGCAAGGCUAAAACUCAAAGGAAAUUGACGGGGGCCCGCACAAGCGGCGGAGCACGUUGCUUUAAUUUCGAGGCAACGCGAAGAAACCUUUACCUGGGUUUUGACANGUAGGGAAAAGCCAUAGAGAAUAUGGUGUCCUUUUUGGGCCCUUACACAGGUGGUGCANGGCUGUCGACAGCUCGUUGUCGUGAGAAUGUUGGGUUAAGUCCCGCAACGAGCGCAACCCUUUAUCCUAUGUUUGCCAGCGCGUUAUGGCGGGGACUUCGUAGGAAGANUUGCCGCGUCAAGUCGGAGGAAAGGUGGGGACGACGUCAAGUCAUCAUGCCCCUUUAUGUCCAGGGCUNGCAAACAUGCUUACAAUGGCCGGUACAGAAGGCUUGCGAGAACCGCGAGGUUUAGCGAAUCC
rnacentral:rRNA from 1 species